rnacentral:rRNA from 1 species
GACAGAGGAUGCAAGCGUUAUCCGGAAUGAUUGGGCGUAAAGCGUCUGUAGGUGGCUUUUUAAGUCUGCCGUCAAAUCCCAGGGCUUAACCCUGGACAGGCGGUGGAAACUACCAAGCUGGAGUACGGUAGGGGCAGAGGGAAUUUCCGGUGGAGCGGUGAAAUGCGCAGAUAUCAGGAGGAACACCGGUGGCGAAGGCGGGUCUCUGGGCAACUACUGACGCUGAGGAGCGAAAGCGUGGGGAGCGAACAGG